CCCCUAGAUGUUCUGGGCCGCACGCGCGCUACACUGAACAGUUCAACAAGUCUUAACCUUGGCCGAUAGGUCUGGGUAAUCUUUGAACGCUGUUCGUGAUUGGGAUAGACCUUUGCAAUUAUGGGUCUUCAACGACGAAUUCCUAGUAAACGCAAGUCAUCAGCUUGCAUUGAUUACGUCCCUGCCCUUUGUACACACCGCCCGUCGCACCUACCGAUUGAAUGGUCCGGUGAAAUCUCGGGACGGCGGCUUGGUCGCUUGCGUCCGACUGCUGAAACUUGAUUAAACCAUAUCAUUUAGAGGAAGGUGAAGUCGUAACA
rnacentral:rRNA from 1 species